CCUACGGGUGGCUGCAGUGGGGAAUAUUGGACAAUGGGGGGAACCCUGAUCCAGCCAUGCCGCGUGUGUGAAGAAGGCCCUCGGGUUGUAAAGCACUUUCAGUGAGGAAGAACGCCUGGUGGUUAAUACCCAUCAGGAAAGACAUCACUCACAGAAGAAGCACCGGCUAACUCCGUGCCAGCAGCCGCGGUAAUACGGAGGGUGCGAGCGUUAAUCGGAAUUACUGGGCGUAAAGCGCGCGUAGGUGGCUUGAUAAGCCGGUUGUGAAAGCCCCGGGCUCAACCUGGGAACGGCAUCCGGAACUGUCAAGCUAGAGUGCAGGAGAGGAAGGUAGAAUUCCCGGUGUAGCGGUGAAAUGCGAAGAGAUCGGGAGGAAUACCAGUGGCGAAGGCGGCCUUCUGGACUGACACUGACACUGAGGUGCGAAAGCGUGGGUAGCAAACAGGAAUAGAUACCCUGGUAGUC
rnacentral:rRNA from 1 species